rnacentral:misc_RNA from 1 species
AAGGAGCACUUCUCAGCCAAGCUUGCUUGGUUCAGAGGCCAGUACAUCAGCGAACGUCUGAUGACUGGUUGCUCAUGGGUGGAACGUUGACUACUCGAUCUGGUUCACGGGUCGAAGGCCGCAAGUACUACCGCAAGGGUGUGGAACGCGUGAUCUUCGGACGGGACCGGGUCGGGCACGCUGUUGGGUGUCUGAGGGCUCGGUUGCUCGCCCUUCGGCGAUGCCGGCCCCAGUGAACUCCGGAUCUUGUGUCCGGGGGUGAUGGGUGGCUGGUCGUUGCUUGAGAACUGCACAGUGGACGCGAGCAUCUGU